CCUCGUAAGAGAGCUCAAAUGAGCUUGCCGUGGCGGAUACAACAGCCCUGCAAAACCCGCAUCUUCGCCGUUUCUCUCUCAUUUUCUCUCAAACCAAACAAAAAAAAUAAAAGCGAAAUCUCUCUUAAAAACCCUUUUUUUUCAAUUAUACUCUAUUCGACGACUCUCAAUUUUGUCUGCAGCAAUCAGAGUAGGGAUUGAAUAUCGUUGAUGUUGGGCGCUUUAAGGAGAAAAGUUGCUAGCGGAGACUCAUCAUCUUUGGUAUUAGGGAAGUCAUUGCUGGCGAUUCGACGGGGUGUUUCAGCAUCUAGAGUUUCUUCUAAUGCUGGAAAAGAGGGAAAAAGAAAAAAAAAUGGUUCUUGAUUUUCCUUUACAGAUCCAUACAGCUUUUGAAGAUCCAUCUCAAGUAAGAGGCUGGUCCUUAAUUUUCCCUUCCUAAUGAUCUCUGGAGUUGGUGAUGUAAAACGUCCACAUACCUUAAUUUAGAAAAUCCAUUCCCAGUUAGAAUUUUCAAUUUCCAAGUUGAUCCAUCAACAAUUGUUUCCAUUUGUGACUGUAAUCCAUUAGAGCAAGUCUUAGAUUUUCUCAACUAAAAAGAAAAGGGUGGGAUUGAGGUUGGUCCUUAAUUCUUCUUUCCUAAUGAUCUCCGGAGUUGAUGUAAAAAGCUCUCACAGCUUAAUUUAGAAGGUCUAUCCCCAAUUUGAUCAUCAAAGAAUGGCUCCUGAAUUUGCUGCCUCUGCUGCUGCCAAUGCUGUAGGAAACCUCACAACAGAAUAUGCAUCACCUUAUGUUAGUUACCUUUUCCGAUUUGGGAAAAUUGUUGAAGAAUUCAAGUAUCGGAGAAAUGAACUUGAAUUGAAUAGUGAUCGGGUAAAAAAUGAUGUCGAAGAGGCAUUAAGGCAAAAUGAGUUAAUUGAGAAGGAUGUCCAAGACUGUCGAAAAAGUGCAGAGAAAGAACUGAAAGAAACCCAGAGUUUGGAAGCUGAAAUAGAACGUAAGAAGUGUUUCAAUUGGUGUCCAAGUUGGGGUUAGCGGUACUGCUUAAGUAAGAAAGUGGCAAAGAAAACGAUCUCUAUCAAUAAACUUCUUGAGAGUGGUAACUUUCCACGGGUGGGCUACCGUGCUCCGCUUCAGGGGAUAGAAUUCUUCCCAUCUGAGGAUUUCGUGCCUUCUAAAUCUUCAAAUUCAACUUUGAAUGACAUCAUCAAGGCUCUAAAGACUAAUGGUGUGAACAUGAUUGGAUUGUAUGGAAUGCCAGGGGUGGGCAAAACAACUUUGGCAAAAGAAGUUGGGAAGCAUGCUAAAGAACAAAAGCUCUUUGACAAUGUUGUGAUGGUUACAAUGUCCCACACUCCAAACAUCAGCAAUAUUCAAGAUAAAAUUGCUGCCAAAGUAGGUUUAAAAUUUCAAGAAAGUAUGGAAGAUGUAAGAGCAGAAGAGUUAUGGGGAAGAUUGAAAGCCGCGGACAAGAUCCUCAUAAUUAUUGAUGAUGUUUGGAGUGAUUUUAAAUUGCAAACUAUAGGUAUUCCAUUCGGUGUUGAACACAAGGGUUGCAAAAUUCUUCUAACUACACGUAGUGAACAAGUCUGUAAUGGAAUGAAGUGUCAAGAGAAAUUUCAUCUCGACGUCUUAUCCGAUGAUGAAGCAUGGGCUUUAUUCAAAGUUAAUGCUAGUCUAAAAGAUGUUUCUUCGACAUUAAAUGAUGUAGCCAAGGAGGUUGCUUCUGAAUGUAAGGGUUUGCCUCUUGCAAUUGUAGCCAUCGCAAAAGCUCUAAAUGGUGCAGAUCUAAAUGAGUGGAUAGCAGCAAAUCAGCGACUCAAGGACUCAAGACAUUUAUACAAUGAAGAUGCUUGUGGAGGUUUGUACAACCGCCUCAAGCUUAGUUAUGAUUAUUUGAAGGGAGACAAUAUUCGAUCAUGUUUCUUGUUGUGUUCCCUUUUUCCAGAAGACUUUCGUAUUGGUUUUGAGUGGUUGAUUAUGUUCGGAAUUGGUUAUGGAUUAUUUUCCGAUGCUAUUCAAUUCAAGACUACCGGACAGAAAUUUGUGACGCACUAAGAAAACUCCAAAAGUCUGGUUUGUUAUUGAAAGUUGAUGAUCGUGUACAUGCUUAAGAUAAUGAAAUCUAUGUAAACAUGCAUGACGUGGUUCGUUACUUUGCUCAUUGGACAACAUUGAAAGAGAAAAAUAUUUUCAUGGUAAAAGAGGGGUCGACAGAAUGGCGUACGUGUGAAAGUUGUGGAUGUUAUACAGCAAUCUCCUUUUGGAACAGCAACAUAAACAAUUUUCCUGACAAACUGAAAUUUUCAAAAUUGAAAAUUUUGAUUUUUACAGGAAAGAAUUUCCU